rnacentral:rRNA from 1 species
GAUGAACGCUGGCGGCGUGCUUAACACAUGCAAGUCGAACGGGAAACCUUUUAAUGAAGCUUCGGCAGAUUUAGCUGGCUUCUAGUGGCGGACGGGUGAGUAACGCGUGGGUAACCUGCCUUAUACAGGGGGAUAACAGUCAGAAAUGACUGCUAAUACCGCAUAAGCGCACAGGACCGCAUGUUCCGGUGUGAAAAACUCCGGUGGUAUAAGAUGGACCCGCGUUGGAUUAGCUUGUUGGUGGGGUAACGGCUCACCAAGGCGACGAUCCAUAGCCGGCCUGAGAGGGUGAACGGCCACAGUGGGACUGAGACACGGCCCAGACUCCUACGGGAGGCAGCAGUGGGGAAUAUUGCACAAUGGGGGAGACCCUGAUGCAGCGACGCCGCGUGAAGGAAGAAGUAUCUCGGUAUGUAAACUUCUAUCAGCAGGGAAGAUAGUGACGGUACCUGACUAAGAAGCCCCGGCUAACUACGUG